CUCAAACACUCUCUCUGGUAGCCUGAAGCACUCCUCGAAGAAGUUCACCAGGGACUGGCUGAGGUGCUGCCUCGUGGCGUCGCUGUGGAUGAAGUGACCUUCAUCUGGGUAGAUCUGAGACACGAAGCAGAAGAUAGACGACAUGAAAGCAUCCACUCACUUGAGCGCCUCCUUCUGGUCCUGCUCCUCGUAAACGCCCAGUUUCUUCUGGAUCCGGUGCAGCAGGUUGGUUCCCUGGAAGCCGCUGCCUCGGCCGUCGCAGCGCACCACGAUGGCGCCGAAGCUGCUCACCAGGACCGUGGCCCAGUCCAUGUGGAACUUCUCCGACACCAUCUGGCCACCAGGUGUCCCAUCGCUGCACCACAGAGAACAAAACCAGUGCAAUCAAGGCUCCAAAAAGGCCCAGCACGGCGCACGUGGAUCAAAGGUGGAAGGAGAAGCGCGACGAAGUGGGAGUUCCUUUUUUUGUUUUUCUUCUUUUGAUACUUUGAUGUGUGUAUUUGUGGCACCAUGCUACUUUUCACAAAGGUGAUUCUACCAGGAAAUGCACACAAAGUACUUGAGAAACUUGACAUUUGCACGAACUUUCUAUUAAAAGA